AAGGCAUUCGUUGUGGUUGAGGUAUGAAUUAUACAAUUUGAUUUUUGUUCAAAAUUUUAAAUAUAUUUUAGCAAUUUUGCUCAUUGAUUUGGUUUCUGAAAUUUAUUUAUUUUUUUGCUCAUAUUUGAGUUUCUUUUCUGUUUCCGUUAUCACAUCUUCAAAUCUAAUUUCGGUUCGAUUUUGUUGUGGUCAGGUGUUGUUAGUGAGGAUUCAGAGAUCCGCC
rnacentral:lncRNA from 1 species